CAGCAGCCGCGGGAAAACGUAGGUGGCAAGCGUUGUCCGGAAUUAUUGGGCGUAAAGCGCGCGCAGGUGGUUUAAUAAGUCUGAUGUGAAAGCCCACGGCUCAACCGUGGAGGGUCAUUGGAAACUGUUAAACUUGAGUGCAGGAGAGAAAAGUGGAAUUCCUAGUGUAGCGGUGAAAUGCGUAGAGAUUAGGAGGAACACCAGUGGCGAAGGCGGCUUUUUGGCCUGUAACUGACACUGAGGCGCGAAAGCGUGGGGAGCAAACAGGAUUAGAUACCCCUGUAGUCCCUGUCUCUUAUAC
rnacentral:rRNA from 1 species